GACGAACGCUGGCGGCGUGCUUAACACAUGCAAGUCGAACGGAAAGGCCCUGCUUUUGUGGGGUGCUCGAGUGGCGAACGGGUGAGUAACACGUGAGUAACCUGCCCUUGACUUUGGGAUAACUUCAGGAAACUGGGGCUAAUACCGGAUAGGAGCUCCUGCUGCAUGGUGGGGGUUGGAAAGUUUCGGCGGUUGGGGAUGGACUCGCGGCUUAUCAGCUUGUUGGUGGGGUAGUGGCUUACCAAGGCGAUGACGGGUAGCCGGCCUGAGAGGGUGACCGGGCACACUGGAACUGAGACAGGGUCCAGAAGGGUAAGGGAGGGAGCAGUGGGGAAUAUGGGACAAUGGGCGCAAGCCUGAUCCAGCCAUACCGCGUGGGUGAAGAAGGGCUUCGGGUUGUAAAGCCCUUUUGUUGGGAAAGAAAAGCAGCAGGUUAAUACCCAGCUGUGCUGACGGUACCCAAAGAAUAAGCACCGGCUAAUUUCGUG
rnacentral:rRNA from 1 species